CCCGCUGAACUUAAGCAUAUCAAUAAGCGGAGGAAAAGAAACUAACAGGGAUUCCCCUAGUAACUGCGAGUGAAGCGGGAAAAGCUCAAAUUUAAAAUCUGGCGGUCUUUGGCUGUCCGAGUUGUAAUUUAGAGAAGCGUCUUCCGCGUCGGACCGUGCACAAGUCUCCUGGAAUGGAGCGUCAUAGAGGGUGAGAAUCCCGUCUUUGGCACGGAUGCCUGGUGCUUUUGUGAUGCGCUCUCAAAGAGUCGAGUUGUUUGGGAAUGCAGCUCAAAAUGGGUGGUGAACUCCAUCUAAAGCUAAAUAUUGGCGAGAGACCGAUAGCGAACAAGUACCGUGAGGGAAAGAUGAAAAGCACUUUGGAAAGAGAGUGAAACAGUACGUGAAAUUGUUGAAAGGGAAACGCUUGAAGUCAGUCGCGUCGACCGAGACUCAGCCUUGCCUUGGCUUGGUGUACUUCUCGGACCGACGGGUCAGCGUCAAUUUUGCCCCUCGGAUAAUGGCAAGGGAAAGGUGGCACCUUUACGGGUGUGUUAUAGUCUCCUGUCGCAUGUGAGGGGUGGGAUUGAGGAACUCAGCGUGCACCUUGGUGUCGGGGCUUCGGCCCACGUCACACGCUUAGGAUGCUGGCGUAAUGGCUUUAAACGACCCGUCUUGAAACACGG
rnacentral:rRNA from 1 species